rnacentral:rRNA from 1 species
CCUACGGGAGGCAGCAGUGAGGAAUAUUGGUCAAUGGACGGAAGUCUGAACCAGCCAUGUCGCGUGCAGGAAGACGGCCCUAUGAGUUGUAAACUGCUUUUGUACAAGGGUAAACCUGAAUACGUGUAUUCAGCUGACAGUACUGUACGAAUAAGGAUCGGCUAACUCCGUGCCAGCAGCCGCGGUAAUACGGAGGAUCCAAGCGUUAUCCGGAUUUAUUGGGUUUAAAGGGUGCGUAGGCGGAUUGAUAAGUUAGAGGUGAAAUGUCCGAGCUUAACUCGGGAACUGCCUCUAAUACUGGUGUUCUAGAGAAUAGAUGCGGUAGGCGGAAUGUAUGGAGUAGCGGUGAAAUGCUUAGAGAUCAUACAGAACACCGAUUGCGAAGGCAGCUUACCAAUCUAUAUCUGACGUUGAGGCACGAGAGCGUGGGGAGCAAACAGGAUUAGAUACCCGAGUAGUC